rnacentral:lncRNA from 1 species
AGAUUUCAGGAGGUUUGAACGUGGAAGCUGGUGAGCAUGGUUUAAAUCCACGGGAGUUGGAGACGGUUGCUGAACCAAACAAAUACGGCAUUCACGCGGCUGCUGGCGAUGAAUAUGUAAGCUGGUGUAACCAAUGCGGGAGCUACGGAGUGGACGCAGAACAAACGCGGAAUAAACACGCGUUAUGAAGUCUUUAAAAAGAGGCACAGGAAAUAUUUUUGGAGGAGGCUGCAAAUCGACCACCCUUCUUCUCUACUUAAAGACUAUUUUCGCUAUCAUUUUUUUUAUCUCUUCUCCACGCCUCCACCAAAUCCUUGCUGACCAUCCUAUCCUUUCUUCCGUCAUCAAUCUACUUUCAAAAGAAGUUGCAGCUUCGCAUCAAGAAGAACACUAAUCCAAAAAUUGCUGUCAGUAGGAAGAUGAAUAUCUUCAUCAUGCAUGGCUAAUUCUCUUCUUCUCGAGAAAAAGACACACAUUGUGUCACGCCCCCGACUCGAAAUUGUGAAUCGAGGGUCAUUGCAAUCACCGGAUACUCAUAGAAAAUUUUUUUCAUAAGCAUGCA